rnacentral:rRNA from 1 species
UACGUAGGGUGCGAGCGUUAAUCGGAAUUACUGGGCGUAAAGCGUGCGCAGGCGGUUCGUUGUGUCCGAUGUGAAAGCCCCGGGCUUAACCUGGGAAUGGCAUUGGAAACUGGCGAGCUUGAGUGCAGCAGAGGGGGGUGGAAUUCCGCGUGUAGCAGUGAAAUGCGUAGAGAUGCGGAGGAACACCGAUGGCGAAGGCAGCCCCCUGGGUCGACACUGACGCUCAGGCACGAAAGCGUGGGGAGCAAACGGG